UCCAGCGUGACAUAGUGGUGUGAGUGCUGGACUAGGACUCUGGGAGACCAGGGUUCGAAUCCCUGCUCGGCCA